CAGCUGAGGAAACAACAGUGAAACCUUCAGAACCAGAAGCUGAGAAGCACUCAGAGGAAACUCAAAUCAAUGAAAUACCAGCUGAGGAAACAAUAGUGAAGCCAGAAUCAAAAGCUGAGAAACAUUCAGAGGAAACUCAAAUCAAUGAAAUACUAGCUGAGGAAACAAUAGUGAAGCCAGAAUCAGAAGCUGAGAAACAUUCAGAGGAAACUCAAAUCAAUGAAAUACCAGCUGAGGAGACAACAGUGAAACUUUCAGAAUCAGAAGCCGAGAAGCAUUCAGAGGAAACUCAAAUCAAUGAUAUACCAGCUGAGGAAACAACAGUGAAACCUUUAGAAUCAGAAGCUGAGAAACAUUCAGAGGAAACUCAAAUCAAUGAAAUACCAGCUGAGGAGACAGUGAAACCUUCAGAAUCAGAAGCUGAGAAACCUUCAGAGGUAAAUAACAAUCUAAAC
rnacentral:lncRNA from 1 species